CCAACAUGACGCAGGGAAUAAAAGCUGCACUCACCAUUGUCGGCGGAAAACAGAGCACAUAAUAUGAAUAAACCCACCACUACCAGCACGGAGCAUCGCCAACGGCCAGAGGAAGACCACAAACAUUAUAAAAGCACAAAGCCAAGGAAAUUAGAGGACCAACAAGAUUAAAAUAUUCAACCCCAUGCCAAUCUAAACUUCUCGAACGAAGAUAACAUCAACCCCUGGACGUGGGCGAGUUAGG
rnacentral:misc_RNA from 1 species